AUUGAACGCUGGCGGCAGGCCUAACACAUGCAAGUCGAGCGGAUGAAGGGAGCUUGCUCCUGGAUUCAGCGGCGGACGGGUGAGUAAUGCCUAGGAAUCUGCCUGGUAGUGGGGGAUAACGUCCGGAAACGGGCGCUAAUACCGCAUACGUCCUGAGGGAGAAAGUGGGGGAUCUUCGGACCUCACGCUAUCAGAUGAGCCUAGGUCGGAUUAGCUAGUUGGUGGGGUAAAGGCCUACCAAGGCGACGAUCCGUAACUGGUCUGAGAGGAUGAUCAGUCACACUGGAACUGAGACACGGUCCAGACUCCUACGGGAGGCGGCAGUGGGGAAUAUUGGACAAUGGGCGAAAGCCUGAUCCAGCCAUGCCGCGUGUGUGAAGAAGGUCUUCGGAUUGUAAAGCACUUUAAGUUGGGAGGGAGGGCAGUAAGUUAAUACCUUGCUGUUUUGACGUUACCAACAGAAUAAGCACCGGCUAACUUCGUG
rnacentral:rRNA from 1 species